rnacentral:rRNA from 1 species
UAAUAAUUCCCUUACUGUUUUUUAUUUAUUCUUAUUGGAGAAGUAACUUUAUUUUUAGUACAUUAUUGAAAUAAUUUUGUUGGUGAUAGUUUAUUAGUACCGUGAGGGAAUAGGUGAAAUAUUGUGAAAACUUUAAUUUUUUGAAAGUAUGAUUAACUUACAGUACCUUUUGUAUCAGGGUUGAUUUAUUAUAUUUAAUGUAUUUUUAUUUCUCGAUUUUGCAAGAGCUGAUUUAUUAAUUUGGUUACUGUAGCAUAAGUAUCAUUAAUAUUUAUCUGAGGAGAUAUUUUAUUCGUUUGUAAGGGUAUCUAGUUCUUUGGGAGUUAAAUUAAAUUUAUUUUUAUUACUUAUUUAUUUUAUUAUUGAAAUAUUUAUUUGGUAAUUUAUUGAUUGUAGGGGCUAAUCUCUGCAUUUUUCUAUAAUUGGCUAAUUCUUAGGUUUAGUAGGGUUAAAAUCAUCCUUCUUUUAAUUACGUUAUAGUUUGUUCUAUUUUAUUUAGAUUUAUUGGUUUUUAGUAUUUUACUGAAGUUUUUUGUUUAAUUUUUUAUCAUUAUAAAUAAUGAUUGAAUUAGUAUAGUUUAUUGUUUUUUAUUACUUUAGUGGGAUCUUUUUUUAAGGAACUCGGCAAAUUUAGUUGCUCGCCUGUUUAUCAAAAACAUGUCCUCAUGUUUAUUAUAUGAGGUCAGGCCUGCCCGGUGAUUUAUUUAACGGCCGCGGUAUUUUGACCGUGCAAAGGUAGCAUAAUCAUUAGUCUUUUAAUAGGAGGCUGGAAUGAAGGGCUUGACGAGGCACUAUCUGUCUCAAUUUAAUAAUCUGGACUUUAGCUUUUGAGUGAAAAGGCUCAAAUUUUUUUGGAAGACGAGAAGACCCUAUAGAGCUUGAUGGUCUUUUUUCUAUCUUUUUUGUUUUAUUUUUAGUGGUAUUAACUUCGACUUUUUUGUUGGGGCGACAAAAGAUAUAUAUUUAACUUUUAUUAUUUAUUUUACAUUAAUGUAUGGGCUUUAGAUCCAGUAUUACUGAUUAAUAGAAUAAGUUACCUUAGGGAUAACAGCGUAAUCUUCCUUCAGAGCUCAAAUUUACAGGAAGGCUUGCGACCUCGAUGUUGGAUUAAGAUAAUUGUUAGGUGUAGCAGCCUAAUUAAUAGGUCUGUUCGACCUUUAAAUUCUUACAUGAUCUGAGUUCAGACCGGUUUAAGCCAGGUCGGUUUCUAUCUCCAAUUUUUUUGUAAUUUUUAGUACGAAAGGACCAUUAUUAUAAGAUAUUCUUUGUUUUUGACUUCUAUUA